rnacentral:rRNA from 1 species
AAUCAUUCGCAAUGGGGGAAACCCUGACGGUGCGACGCCGCGUGGAGGAUGACAGCUCUAGGGUUGUAAACUCCUGUCAUGAGAGAGUAAAGGCUUGCCGUUAAUAGCGGUCGGGUCCUGAUAGUAUCUCAAGAGGAAGGGACGGCUAACUUCGUGCCAGCAGCCGCGGUAAUACGAAGGUCCCAAGCGUUGUUCGGAAUCACUGGGCGUAAAGCGUGCGUAGGCGGCAUGGUAAGUCAGAUGUGAAAGCCCGGGGCUCAACCUCGGAACUGCAUCCGAUACUGCCAAGCUAGAGUAGUGGAGGGGAGUCUGGAAUUCACGGUGUAGCAGUGAAAUGCGUAGAUAUCGUGAGGAACACUAGUGGCGAAGGCGAGACUCUGGACACUAACUGACGCUGAGGCACGAAGGCUAGGGUAGCGAAAGGGAUUAGAUACCCCUGUAGUCCUAGCAGUAAACGGUGCGCGUUUGGUGUGGGCGGGUUCGACCCCGUCCGUGCCGGAGCUAACGCGUUAAACGCGCCGCCUGGGGAGUACGGUCGCAAGACUAAAACUCAAAGAAAUUGACGGGGACCCGCACAAGCGGUGGAGUAUGUGGCUUAAUUCGAUGCAACGCGAAGAACCUUACCUAGGCUUGACAUGCUUGUCGUAGUUCUGUGAAAGCAGAUCGUCGGUUCGGCCGGACUUGCACAGGUGCUGCAUGGCUGUCGUCAGCUCGUGUCGUGAGAUGUUGGGUUAAGUCCCGCAACGAGCGCAACCCCUAUGGUCUGCUGCCAGCACGUAAUGGUGGGGACUCUGACCAGACUGCCCAGCUUAACUGGGAGGAAGGUGGGGAUGACGUCAAGUCAGUAUGGCCCUUACGCCCAGGGCUGCACACGUGCUACAAUGUCCAGUACAAUGUGAACCGAUACCGCGAGGUGGAGGAAAUCCUAUAAAACUGGGCUCAGUUCGGAUUGUAGUCUGCAACUCGACUACAUGAAGUUGGAAUCGCUAGUAAUGGCUCAUCAGCUACGGAGCCGUGAAUACGUUCCCGGGUCUUGCACACACCGCCCGUC